CAGAGUUCGUGCCCUCACGGGUAGAUCUCCCACCCUUGUGUAUUCUCCACAUCUUGUUGCUUUGGCAGGCCGUUGGUUCGCCAACCACCGGCUCGCGGGCUGGUGCGUGCCUGCCAGAGGACCUCUCAAACUCGGUUUGUCAGUGUCGUCUGAGUACCAUAACAAUCGUUA
rnacentral:misc_RNA from 1 species